GACUUUCAUUCAAUCGUGUAUCGUAUCUAACAACACCAUUGAAUGAAUGACUUUGCUCUCGUCAUCAGACUCGCCUUUCUCUCUCCUCGACAAAGUUCGCAUCUUUAUCUUUGGCUCUCCUUUCUCCUUCUCCUUCUCCUUAAUGCCAGAACGCCGUAUCCUCUCUCUCUCUCUUUCCCUACCCUAACCCACCAAACAAAGCCCCAUCUCCUUGCUCAUAUUUCUACCUUUGUUUCGGGGGUCGCCUGCCCCGCAAACCACACACCGAAGGGCUUCCCCAGCAGGAGCCGCUUCCGCCUAAUCGACGGUCCCCCAGGCUCAGACGACUUUUAUAGCUUCUCUCUUUCCCCACCCUACAAAGCCGAAUCUCCUUGCUCAUAUUUCUACCUUUGUAUCUUUAUUUGAUUUCGUGCGUCUGCCACCACCAUGCUUGCUCAACGCCGUAUCCUCUCUCUUUCCCUACCCUACAAGGCCCAUCUCCUUGCUCAUAUUUCUACCUUUGUAUCUUUAUUUGAUUUCGGGGGCUGAGAAUGAAAAAGACAUUUACACUUGUAUCUCGCCUGCCCCGCAAACCACACACCGAAGGGCUUCCCCAGCAGGAGCCCCUUCCGCCUAACUGACGGUCCCCCAUACUCUGACGACUUUUAUAGGGCUGUGAAUGUAAAAGACAUUUACACUUAUAUCUCGCCUGCCCCGCAAACCACACACUGAAGGGCUUCCGCAGCAGGAGCCGCUUCCACCUAACCGAUGGUCCCUGAUGCUUAGACGACUUUUAUAGGUCUGAAUCCAGAGUUGCCUUUUUUAAUCUACUGUCUUCUCGGUGCUAGAUCUAGGCUUGAUUGUGUUUGUAUUUUAAUUUUCAAGUAAUUUCUGUCUGAAAUUAAUCUACUCUGUUUAAGUGCUAGAUCUAGGUUUUUACUCUCUUCUAAUUUCUGAAAUUCUGAAAAGAAAAAAAGAAAUAUGGGAUAAUUUUUACCUGGGGGGAGGCUUUUGUUU